rnacentral:rRNA from 1 species
UGGGGAAUAUUGCGCAAUGGGGGGAACCCUGACGCAGCCAUGCCGCGUGAAUGAAGAAGGCCUUCGGGUUGUAAAGUUCUUUCGGUAUUGAGGAAGGUUGAUGUGUUAAUAGCACAUCAAAUUGACGUUAAAUACAGAAGAAGCACCGGCUAACUCCGUGCCAGCAGCCGCGGUAAUACGGAGGGUGCGAGCGUUAAUCGGAAUAACUGGGCGUAAAGGGCACGCAGGCGGUUAUUUAAGUGAGGUGUGAAAGCCCCGGGCUUAACCUGGGAAUUGCAUUUCAGACUGGGUAACUAGAGUACUUUAGGGAGGGGUAGAAUUCCACGUGUAGCGGUGAAAUGCGUAGAGAUGUGGAGGAAUACCGAAGGCGAAGGCAGCCCCUUGGGAAUGUACUGACGCUCAUGUGCGAAAGCGUGGGGAGCAAACAGGAUUAGAUACCCUGGUAGUCCACGCUGUAAACGCUGUCGAUUUGGGGGUUGGGGUUUAACUCUGGCGCCCGUAGCUAACGUGAUAAAUCGACCGCCUGGGGAGUACGGCCGCAGGGUUA